CGGUGGGGAUCUGGUCCGGGGAGAUGAAGUGGAUGUGGGUGUCGAUGCCGCCCGCGGUGAGGAUCUUGCGCUCCCCCGCGAUGAUCUCGGUGGAGGACCCGACCACGAUGUCCACACCGUCCUGGAUGAGCGGGUUCCCGGCCUUGCCGAUCGCCUGGAUGUGGCCGUCGCGGAGUGCGACGUCUGCUUUGUAGAUCCCGCUGUGGUCCACGAUGAGCGCGUUGGUGAUGACCGUGUCCGGCACGUCGCCGCCGUCGCGCGUCACCUGGCCGUUCUGGCCCAUGCCGUCGCGCAG
rnacentral:sRNA from 1 species